AUUGAACGCUGGCGGCAGGCCUAACACAUGCAAGUCGAGCGGAUGAAGGGAGCUUGCUCCUGGAUUCAGCGGCGGACGGGUGAGUAAUGCCUAGGAAUCUGCUUGGUAGUGGGGGAUAACGUCCGGAAACGGGCGCUAAUACCGCAUACGUCCUGAGGGAGAAAGUGGGGGAUCUUCGGACCUCACGCUAUCAGAUGAGCCUAGGUCGGAUUAGCUAGUUGGUGGGGUAAAGGCCUACCAAGGCGACGAUCCGUAACUGGUCUGAGAGGAUGAUCAGUCACACUGGAACUGAGACACGGUCCAGACGCCUACGGGAGGCAGCAGUGGGGAAUAUUGGACAAUGGGCGAAAGCCUGAUCCAGCCAUGCCGCGUGUGUGAAGAAGGUCUUCGGAUUGUAAAGCACUUUAAGUUGGGAGGAAGGGCAGUAAGUUAAUACCUUGCUGUUUUGACGUUACCAACAGAAUAAGCACCGGCUAACUUCGUG
rnacentral:rRNA from 1 species